GACGAACGCUGGCGGCGUGCUUAACACAUGCAAGUCGAACGAUGAACCCGGAGCUUGCUCUGGGGGAUUAGUGGCGAACGGGUGAGUAACACGUGAGUAACCUGCCCUGGACUCUGGGAUAAGCGUUGGAAACGACGUCUAAUACCGGAUAGGGCCUUGGAUCGCAUGAUCUGGGGUGGAAAGUUUUUUCGGUCUGGGAUGGACUCGCGGCCUAUCAGCUUGUUGGUGGGGUAAUGGCUCACCAAGGCGUCGACGGGUAGCCGGCCUGAGAGGGUGACCGGCCACACUGGGACUGAGACACGGCCCAGACUCCUACGGGAGGCAGCAGUGGGGAAUAUUGCACAAUGGGCGAAAGCCUGAUGCAGCAACGCCGCGUGCGGGAUGACGGCCUUCGGGUUGUAAACCGCUUUUAGUAGGGAAGAAGGGCUUCGGCUUGACGGUACCUGCAGAAAAAGGACCGGCUAACUACGUG
rnacentral:rRNA from 1 species